rnacentral:rRNA from 1 species
GUUAAUUCGAUGAUACGCGAGGAACCUUACCUGGGCUCAAAUGUAUGUUGACGUAUUCUGAAAGGGAUACUUCUUCGGACAAUAUACAAGGUGCUGCAUGGUUGUCGUCAGCUCGUGCCGUGAGGUGUCGGGUUAAGUCCCAUAACGAGCGCAACCCCUAUCAUUAGUUGCCAUCAGGUCAAGCUGGGGACUCUAAUGAAACUGCCUACGCAAGUAGUGAGGAAGGUGGGGAUGACGUCAAAUCAGCACGGCCCUUACGUCCAGGGCUACACACGUGCUACAAUGGCCGGUACAAAGGGCAGCUACCUGGUGACAGGAUGCUAAUCUCAAAAGCCGGUCUCAGUUCGGAUCGGAGUCUGCAACCCGACUCCGUGGAGCUGGAAUCGCUAGUAAUCGCGCAUCAGCCAUGGCGCGGUGAAUACGUUCCCGGGCCUU